AGAGCGAACGCUGGCGGAAGGCCUAAUACAUGCAAGUCGAACGAACCCUUCGGGGUUAGUGGCGGACGGGUGAGUAACACGUGGGAACGUGCCCUUUGGUUCGGAACAACUCAGGGAAACUUGAGCUAAUACCGGAUGAGCCCUUUGGGGGAAAGAUUUAUCGCCAUUGGAGCGGCCCGCGUCUGAUUAGCUAGUUGGUGAGGUAAAGGCUCACCAAGGCGACGAUCAGUAGCUGGUCUGAGAGGAUGAUCAGCCACAUUGGGACUGAGACACGGCCCAAACUCCUACGGGAGGCAGCAGUGGGGAAUAUUGGACAAUGGGCGCAAGCCUGAUCCAGCCAUGCCGCGUGAGUGAUGAAGGCCCUAGGGUUGUAAAGCUCUUUUGUGCGGGAAGAUAAUGACGGUACCGCAAGAAUAAGCCCGGCUAACUUCGCGCCAGCAGCCGC
rnacentral:rRNA from 1 species